rnacentral:ribozyme from 12 species
UUGCUUGUUGUACAUCUGUUUUUGUUUUUGUUUUUUUUUUGCCAUCGUUUGGGGCGUUUUGAUCAAUUUCGUUUUCAAUGUGAAAGAAAAAGGAAGAUGGUGAU